rnacentral:rRNA from 1 species
GUAGCGGCGAGCGAAACGGGAAAAGCCCAAACCAACAAGCUUGCUUGUUGGGGUUGUAGGACUCCGAUAUGGUAGUCUAUUCAGAUAGUCGAAAUACUUGGAAAAGUAUGUCAAAGAGGGUAAAAACCCCGUAGGCGAAAUUUGGAUAACACCUAGGAGGAUCCUGAGUACGGCGGAACACGAGGAAUUCCGUCGGAAUCCGGGAGGACCAUCUCCCAAGGCUAAAUACUCCCUAGUGACCGAUAGUGAACCAGUACCGUGAGGGAAAGGUGAAAAGCACCCCGGAAGGGGAGUGAAAUAGAUCCUGAAACCGUGUGCCUACAACAAGUUAGAGCCCGUUAAUGGGUGAUAGCGUGCCUUUUGUAGAAUGAACCGGCGAGUUACGAUAGCAUGCGAGGUUAAGUUGAAGAGACGGAGCCGUAGCGAAAGCGAGUCUGAAUAGGGCGAAUGAGUAUGUUGUCGUAGACCCGAAACCAUGUGAUCUACCCAUGUCCAGGUUGAAGGUGCGGUAAAACGCACUGGAGGACCGAACCCACGUACGUUGAAAAGUGCGGGGAUGAGGUGUGGGUAGCGGAGAAAUUCCAAACGAACUUGGAGAUAGC